rnacentral:rRNA from 1 species
AUUGAACGCUGGCGGCAGGCCUAACACAUGCAAGUCGAACGAGUGGCGGACGGGUGAGUAAUGUCUGUGAAACUGCCUGAUGGAGGGGGAUAACUACUGGAAACGGUAUCUAAUACCGCAUACCGUCAGCUGUUCCCAGAUGGGAUUAGCUAGUAGGUGGGGUAACGGCUCACCUAGGCGACGAUCCCUAGCUGGUCUGAGAGGAUGACCAGCCACACUGGAACUGAGACACGGUCCAGACUCCUACGGGAGGCAGCAGUGGGGAAUAUUGCACAAUGGGCGCAAGCCUGAUGCAGCCAUGCCGCGUGUAUGAAGAAGGCCUUCGGGUUGUAAAGUACUUUCAGCGGGGAGGCGUUACCCGCAGAAGAAGCACCGGCUAACUCCGUGCCAGCAGCCGCGGUAAUUC